UGGGGAAUAUUGCGCAAUGGGGGAAACCCUGACGCAGCAACGCCGCGUGCAGGAAGAAGGUCUUCGGAUUGUAAACUGUUGUCGCAGGGGAAGAAGACAGUGACGGUACCCUGUGAGAAAGUCACGGCUAACUACGUG
rnacentral:rRNA from 1 species